CCCGUCCCGCCGCGGCGGGCCCGGCCCGGCCGCCCGCUCCCCUAGUUCCUCCCGCGGACUCAAGUUGCCACGAGCCGCUUUGCCCCUUCCUCUGGCGACGAAGGAGGCGGGGUGGGAGGCCGGGUGGGUGAAGCGGCCGCGGCACACCGGUGGUGGCGGAGGUACUACUUUGCGGAUCCCGCCGAAGUCGCUCGGCGAGUUUAUUUUCCCAGGCCCGGUUGUUUCUGUUUGUUAUUUUACCGGGGGAGAAAACAAUACAAUCCGGACGGGACGCAGGCGGCGGCACGGACGCGGGCCGCGGCAGCGCUGCCCGCGGCCUGCCGGGGGAAGACGGGGUCUGCUCCGGCCCGCUCGGGCCGUGCCCGCCGCUCUCCGGACUGUGAGUCGGGAGGCUCGGGAACGAGCGGCCCAUCUCCUCCCCUGCUCUCGCCCCGUGUCACCGGCGGCCGGAGCCGGGCUUCGCGCUCCCUGCCCGCCGCCGCCCUCUCAGCCCCGCGCCGCUCCCGCUCGGACGCCGCUUCCCUUGCGCGGCCGCCAGAGCCACGCGGGAGGCGUCGGGCUCCGUCCGCCUCCUCCUUCGCUCUGCCGGCCUGACCGAGGCAGCCGAGCGCAGGCCGCGCCAGGCGUACAAAAUAAACGUUGGUAUUGGUAGCCCAUGAAUCGACACUGCGGGUUCCUGCCGGCCCGGCCCGUGGGCCUGGCCACGGGGUCUGAGUUCCGCGGGGUUUAGUUUUGCUGGGAGAAGGGGUAAGGGCAGGCGGCAGCGGCCCGGGUGCUCCAGGGGCAGGGAAAGGGUCUGGCACCGCCGCUUUCCACAAGCAGACUCGGUGAUACAGGCUCGGGCUUACGGCUGCGCUUUGCCGGGACCAAAGGGUUGGGUAUUAAUCGUCCACAGCAUAUCGGGUUGUACUGUCAGCACGGGAACAAAAAAAUCAAGCGGAAAACAAAAUGAAAUACAUCGCACAGCGGUCUUACUCGGAAAGGAGAAAUGUAAUGGACAGAGAGCGUGCUGAUCGCGUUCAGACCAAAGCUGUGGCAAACGUCUGGCGCCGCAUUAAGCUGCUUCACGUUUGUGCUGGAGGAAAAGAUGCUCCGUAGAAACAAUACGUGCAGCUCAACCCCAGCUAAAACAAUUUAUUCCAAGGAAAUUCAGAAACUCAGGUUAGAGCGCAAUGCAAUGAAUGUGGUUCUGUGCGGACGUGCGUUUUAUAUAUGUGUUUGUGUAUGUGUAUGUACGAGGGAGGGAGGAAAAGCGAGUGUGAGAAAGAGAGAGUAAAUAACGAGGACAAGUAAAAUGGACCGGUAAUAAACAAUUGCAAUUGGGGAUGGCAUGAACUCUGUGCAUUGGAUUAACCUCGAAUGACCUUACCACAAUUGUAUUUAUUUAACCAAUUUCAUAACAGGUUGCUACUGACACACACACACACACGUUAAUGAUCAACAACUACUCUUUUUCCAUUGUUUGUUGUUUGGUUUUGGAUUUUUUUUUUUUCAGAAAUUCAGGGUUUUUGUUUACUUUUUUUUUUUUUAAUCAUGACAAUUUAUAAUUACUUCGUUCAUCAACACUGAAGUCAAUGUAUGGGAUUUCUCUUGAAGAAGAGUGCAAUGCAGAAGAUACUGUAUGACUCCACCAUGGCAAGGGGUAAGAGGAAAGAAAAUGCACUGUUUAUAAAACUAGAGAUAUUUGCUUUGGAAAUGCGGGGGUCUUGCUCUAAUGCCAGUUCCUUCCUGAGCUCUGCCCCGAACACGACUCCACUUUAGUGGUACCUUUGUGCGUCGGGGCAGUGCAGGUUUUUGACCGCUCAACUUUGGCCAAACCCGAAUUCCCUUAAGGAAGUCCCUCAUGGCAGCAUUUUCUAACAGGGAAGAUUUUGUGGAGUGUUUGGAACAGAAGCUUACGCGUAGAACAGAGGCACACAGCCCCCAGCCGUGUGAAAUACUGGUGGAUGUGCAGAGGGGAGCCGGCUCUCUGCAGAGUGUGAAUGAUGCCUCACCUGCACGCUCAUCAACGCUGCGGAUCCACCGAACCGAGCGGCGGGGAUGGACUGAGAAUAUCCAGCUCCGGGGUCAGGAUGGGGCUGAAUAGCUGAGCUGAAACGUCCUGGCUGAAGUGCCAUUCAACAGCGAUCUCCGUGCAGCUCUUGGGUAUAACUCGUAGGGAUAGUGUUUCAACCACAUACUUUUCUCCCACCGCCCUCCCCCCGCCCUUUUUAUUUUUUUUCUUUUUCUUCUUUUUUUUUUUUAAUAUUUUUUUUUUUUAAAUUAAAGGCCAAAGGAAGAAAAGACCCUCUCCAGUGUACACUUAAUGCAUAUAGCGUACUUCCCUUGCACCAUCCCCCGCCCCAGCUUCAGCCUUCAGUCCCCCUUCACACGGGUAUAGUGGCUCUGUACUCUCGGGCUCUUUCAAGGCGGUUAAGCUGCUAAAAUGUACUGACAGCUUAAGAAAUGAAUGAGGGUUUUUUUUUCAGCCCUGAAGAAAGGGUAUUUAAUAACCACGCUUCGAUGGCAUCAUGCGUCCACAAAACGAGUCCGGACACUUUGGUUUAACGAUCAGUAAUAUCACAUUCGGGACAGUAAAUGCCUCCAUGUACGCUUAUAUAAUUCUAUUCCCCCUUGACUAUAAGCUUGCCUUAUUUAUUCCAGGUUACCUGGGCAAUUAAGGUAAGGACUUCUCAGCAGAUACUGAUACCCUGCUGCUAAGGCAUGGCGAAUGGGGACCGAGCAGUGCGCUAACAAAGAGAAAGAGGUAGUCAAACAUUUUGAAGAGGGGUGAAUGGGACUGAAGGUGGAUGGAUGGAUGAAUGGAGGCAAAGAGGGAGAGGAAGAGGCAUUCAAUGGUCCAGACUUCUCUCCGCAUUUGUAGAUUUAAGUUUAGGUGUCCGCCUCUAGCCAGCUUCCAGUUAAUCCUCAACAGCUUCUAGUGAUUAGAAGUUAGUCUAUUUAGCAUGCUAUAUCCUUCUUCCAUGGGUUUUAGUUACAAGUUAUACGAUUAGGAUUGCGAGAACAGUAGUGAACUAAACUUCCCAGUAAGAGGUCUUCACACCGGGGAAGUGUUACUUUGCUGCAGCAGCCCUGCCUCGUCAGUCAUUAGGAAGCUGCAGGUUGUCAGAGGCUUCUCUUGCGCGCACACAAGCGCAGACACACACGCACACACACACAAAACCACAGCACUAAAACUAAAUUAAGAAGCCGAUGAUUAAGACAAGCGUCUACGAGGCCUGUCAUUUCAGCAUCCUUCCAUCAUAACAUUGUGGCACCGAGAAAUUUGCUUGAAAACCCUGGAAAAAAAAUGUCUAUGGGAGAGCCUCGUGUUUGAGGCUGUUAAUAUCAAAUAUAGACUGGGAACUGCCUCGGAUGCAAGACAGUAUUCCGCCGAGGAAAGGAACACUGCAGAGACCUUGGUGCUAUCCGCGCACUCCCGAAACUCUGGAUUGACUUGAUCGUCUCUGAAAAUGCAGAACAACCCAUGAGAUCCCUCCUUUCCACCAACCGUGUGGAGGAUGCUUGCAGAACAGCCCUGAAAACAAAACAACUUAAUUGAAGGCAGUUCAAUUUCAGUGCAACAAUUGUGUUAUGGAACACCUAACAUUUCUUUAUCUGUAACUAACUUAUUUAAUUUUGGAUAGUUCAAUAAAUGUUAGCUAUGCCAAGCAUA